AAUAAUUUUUUUUUUGUAUUGUAAAAUUGUCCAGAUGUUUGAAAAAAUGAUAAUCGAGAGGUCUGGAGAAUAGGGAGGUUGGGGCAGAACCUCUUAACCAAGAUCCAACCGUUUUUCGUGUUGAAGCCGAGCGAGAGUUGUGGGUAACAGAAUCGGCCUUUUCCGAUGGCAUCGAUAAUGCCAAUUUCUGGUGCAUUGCUUCAAUUUGAGAGCAAUACAUAUCGGCAGUGAUUGUUCCGCCAGGAUUCAAGAAGCUGUAGUAAAUCAGCCCAAUUGAAUCCCAUCAAAGAGUCAUCAUCACUUUUUUUGAUAAGUUGGGGGCUUUGGAAAACGUGCUGCUGCUUCUCCUUUGUCGAACAACUGUCCAGAACGUCUGCUGUUAUCGUUCUACUUUCCAUCACAAGGAACAAUUCUAUCCAGAAAAUGUUCUUUUCUGUUUCGGCAAAGAAGUGUUGCGCAAACUUCAUAACGAUGAUUUUCUUGGUGAUCGUUUAAUGCACAAGGAAGCCAACUUUCGAGCUUUUUCACCUUUCCAAUUGCCUCAAAGUGCUCAGCGACGUGCGAUUUGCUAACUGAACGAUUCUCUCCAAAUUCUCGAACAGUUGUUCUGGGAUUUUCUUCGACCAAAGCUCGCAGAACAUUAUCAUCUAGGGAAGAAAUCCUUGCGAUCUAUCUACUUUGCUUCAAGGCUAAAGUCUUUCUAGAAAUUGUUUAAACCAUUUAUGAACGGUGCUCUCACACUACCAUCGCCCAUGGCUUCAUUGAUGUUUUUGACCGUUUGGGCACCGUUCCGACCGAGUUUUAAACUCAUAAAAAAAUCACAUGUUGACAUCGUAAUAAAGACUGAAUUAUUCCCAAGUAAAGGAAUGCUAGUGAGGUAAACAAAGAUUUUUGUUUGGAAAAGGAUUUUAUUUAUAUAUAUUUGUUGAUAUUCGUACAAAAUAAUAAUCAAUGAAACGUAAACAGUUUAUUAUAUAGAGGGGUAAUUGAAAGAAAAUAUGAAAAUGUGCAUUAUUUUCCGGGCAAUCCAGUAUAUGUCUCCGCAAUAUCGGGAAAUCUCUUCCUAAAUAGAAAAAAAAUUGACCCAUCGUCAAAUAUCUUCUGAUCUUUACGAUUCUAAAAGACGUGUUUACUGUUAGAGAAGACGCCGUGUUAAACGCGGAGUCGCCACCGAUUAACCGCCGACCUUUGUUUCCCAGUAAACCUUGAUUGCGGGCCGGCGGGAUUUCCCCUGGGCUUUCCAGAAUUUUUUUUUAAAGGACGCGUUAUCCUUUCUCCCACUGGUGAUUAAUAAAAAAGACAACUAAUCGUAUCACAGCUUUUGCCAUUCCUUCGUGAUACCUCUUUAAUCUCGAUUUUAUUUUAAUUUUAACUAUUUAUCGUUUUAAUUUUUUUUAAUAUAUAUCUUUUUAGGGUUAAUCUACGAUUCACACAGUAAGGAAUAAAACUGGCGAUUUUUUGUUGCCAUAUUUUGCAAAUGGAUAUUAAAAAAUGUAAUGUGCAGUAUUUAUCUUAUCGAACUUCUUGCGGAGUAAAAACGGAAAAAACAAUUUUGUUUGCAUCAUCAGAUAUAAUAAAUAUAUUUUAACCCACAUUGCAGAUUUUGAUAGAGCUCAAUCAAAUGAUCGAAAUCUGGAAAAAUUGAGAUAAAUAUAACUUUUUCUUUACAGUUCCUCAAUCCCAUGCCGGGCAAACGGAAGAGUGACACAUCUGACGGUUAUCAAUGGUGAGAUUGAAGUUAACGCGACAAUUGAAAUAACUCGAAAAACCGGUCUGUGAAAAUUAGUACGGCUCGGCAGUGGAUAAAAUACUAUGAUACAAAUAAAUAAAAAGGUGUUUUCGAUAAAUCAGCACCGAGAAGUGGCCGAAACAUGCAAUGUUGCUUUUUGCACCUUGUGGUGUUGGAUCCAAGUAGAAUAAGA